GCUGAAGUUUCAAGUGGGAACUUCCAACUGCCUUCCUGAUAAGCUGUAGUUAUUUGAAUAAAAUCUUCUGCCAUCUCUACUGAGGAAUUUAAUUCUAAUACAAACUCCCUGAUCUUAGAGAUAACUGGUUUUGUGGUUCUUAAUCCAUCAUCUAUAAUCAAAUUCAAAGCACGAGCAGCACAAGGAAUAUAGCAGAAAGGCGUCAAUUUCUGACCUUCUAAAUCCUC
rnacentral:misc_RNA from 1 species